ACUUGAAAUGAUGAUUUCUCUACCGCCCCAGUCUGAAGUCUGUGACUGAUUCGGUUAUUCUGAAAAAUU